GCCCAGACUCCUACGGGAGGCAGCAGUAGGGAAUAUUGCACAAUGGGGGAAACCCUGAUGCAGCGACGCCGCGUGAAGGAUGAAGUAUUUCGGUAUGUAAACUUCUAUCAGCAGGGAAGAAAAUGACGGUACCUGACUAAGAAGCCCCGGCUAACUACGUGCCAGCAGCCGCGGUAAUACGUAGGGGGCAAGCGUUAUCCGGAUUUACUGGGUGUAAAGGGAGCGUAGGCGGCAGCGCAAGUCUGAAGUGAAAUGCCGGGGCUUAACCGCGGAACUGCUUUGGAAACUGAGCAGCUAGAGUGCAGGAGAGGUAAGUGGAAUUCCUAGUGUAGCGGUGAAAUGCG
rnacentral:rRNA from 1 species